rnacentral:rRNA from 1 species
GGUUGAUCCUGCCAGUAACAUAUGCUUGUUUAAAAGAUUAAGCCAUGCAUGUCUAAGUAUAAACAUCUAUACUAGUGAAACUGCGUACAGCUCAUUAUAUCAGUUAUUAUUUAUUUGAAGGUGACUCACUACAUGGAUACCUGUAGUAAUUCUAGAGCUAAUACAUGCGUAAAGUUCCAACUCUCGGGAAGGAAUGUAUUUAUUAGAUAAAAAAUCAAUGCAGGUUUUACCUGCUUCAUUGGUGAUUCAUAGUAACUGUUCGGACCGUAUGGCCUUGUGCUGACGGUAGUUCA